ACACAUUUGUUGAAAGAAAGAUAGAAGGAUUUGAAAAGAAAUGAUAGUAAAAUAAGACAAGAUAGAUCCCAAACUCCAACCCUAAAAUAAUUCAGGUAGUAGAAAGAAAAACAAAGAAGACUACCAAAAAUCCUUCCUCGUGGGGAGCAGAUUGGCUUCUAAAUUUCCAAACUUAAUAUUUUAGCCACUGAUUCGCACAUCGUCCUUAGUGGAGUUUCCACAAUCAUUGCUACAUCGUCUGUUUUUUUUUUGAAUCCAAUCAUUUUGAAUUUAUCACCGUACAACUCUCUCCAAAAUAAGCCAUCAACAGUUUCUCUUUCCCCCUACUCCUCUUAAUUGAUUUCAAAACCUUUUUAGAUGAGUCAAAGGAUGACUAUGACCCACAUACAUGUCCAACUUUGGUGUUUUAGAGUUUAUAGGCAAGUGACCAUUGAAACAUGUACAAAUCCUUGUGAGAACUCUCUUUUUCACUCUUAGUAUUUGCAUGUUUCUCAUAUUUUGCUCUAAAUUUCUCACUUUUCAGGUCAUUUCUUUUUA
rnacentral:lncRNA from 1 species